GACGAACGCUGGCGGCGUGCUUAACACAUGCAAGUCGAACGCUGAAGCCCAGCUUGCUGGGUGGAUGAGUGGCGAACGGGUGAGUAACACGUGAGUAACCUGCCCCCUUCUUUGGGAUAACGCCCGGAAACGGGUGCUAAUACUGGAUAUUCACUGGCCUUCGCAUGGGGGUUGGUGGAAAGGUUUUUUCUGGUGGGGGAUGGGCUCGCGGCCUAUCAGCUUGUUGGUGGGGUGAUGGCCUACCAAGGCUUUGACGGGUAGCCGGCCUGAGAGGGUGACCGGUCACAUUGGGACUGAGAUACGGCCCAGACUCCUACGGGAGGCAGCAGUGGGGAAUAUUGCACAAUGGGCGAAAGCCUGAUGCAGCGACGCCGCGUGAGGGAUGACGGCCUUCGGGUUGUAAACCUCUUUCGCUCAUGGUCAAGCCGCAGCUUUGGGUUGUGGUGAGGGUAGUGGGUAAAGAAGCGCCGGCUAACUACGUGCCAGCAGCCGCGGUAAUACGUAGGGCGCGAGCGUUGUCCGGAAUUAUUGGGCGUAAAGGGCUUGUAGGCGGUUGGUCGCGUCUGCCGUGAAAUCCUCUGGCUUAACUGGGGGCGUGCGGUGGGUACGGGCUGACUUGAGUGCGGUAGGGGAGACUGGAACUCCUGGUGUAGCGGUGGAAUGCGCAGAUAUCAGGAAGAACACCGGUGGCGAAGGCGGGUCUCUGGGGCCGUUACUUGACUCUUAGGAGCGAAAGCGUGGGGGAGCGAAACAGG
rnacentral:rRNA from 1 species